UACGUAGGGGGCUAGCGUUGUCCGGAUUUAUUGGGCGUAAAGAGCGUGUAGGCGGCCAGGUAGGUCCGUUGUGAAAACUCGAGGCUCAACCUCGAGACGUCGAUGGAAACCAUCUGGCUAGAGUCCGGAAGAGGAGAGUGGAAUUCCUGGUGUAGCGGUGAAAUGCGCAGAUAUCAGGAAGAACACCUAUGGCGAAGGCAGCUCUCUGGGACGGUACUGACGCUGAGACGCGAAAGCGUGGGGAGCGAACAGG
rnacentral:rRNA from 1 species